AUUGAACGCUGGCGGCAUGCUUUACACAUGCAAGUCGAACGGGGUGAGGAGCUUGCUCCUCAUCUAGUGGCGAACGGGUGAGUAAUACAUCGGAACGUACCGUGUAGUGGGGGGAUAACGUAGCGAAAGUUACGCUAAUACCGCAUACGAUCCACGGAUGAAAGCAGGGGACCUUCGGGCCUUGUGCUAUACGAGCGGCCGAUGUCUGAUUAGCUAGUUGGUGGGGUAAAGGCCCACCAAGGCAACGAUCAGUAGCGGGUCUGAGAGGAUGAUCCGCCACACUGGGACUGAGACACGGCCCAGACUCCUACGGGAGGCAGCAGUGGGGAAUUUUGGACAAUGGGCGCAAGCCUGAUCCAGCCAUGCCGCGUGUCUGAAGAAGGCCUCGGUUGUAAGGACGUUUG
rnacentral:rRNA from 1 species